rnacentral:misc_RNA from 1 species
AAGUCGUAACAAGGUUUCCGUAGGUGAACCUGCGGAAGGAUCAUUAACAAUAAUCCAAACACUUGUCUUGGCUGUGACCCCUUCUUGGCAACAAGAAGGCUAGCAGCCGCUGACACACUAACAUUCAAAAUUGACAACUAAUGGAGAACCAAAAAAUUAUAAAAGAAAAACAACUUUUAACAAUGGAUCUCUCGGCUCUU